rnacentral:lncRNA from 1 species
GACUGCGGACGGAUGAAUAGACGCUGCGGGUCACUGCGCUCUCCCCUGGGUGAGCAGAGCUUCUCACGCUUCUCACGGGUCUCGACGUGCGCAUCAGCUGCCCUGCUUUUCUUUGCUUUUUUUUUUUCCUUAAUUGCGGAGUCACAUGCAGUUGUAAGAAAUCAUUCACUUUGCCUAGUUUCCCCCAGUGUUACCACUUUGCAAAACUUUGCCAAAAAAAAAAGUCCAAUCUCACAACCAGGAUAUUGACUUUGAUACAGUCACCGAUCUUAUUCAGUUUUGCCGUUUUACUCGUCUUCCUUUGCAUGUAUUAGUUUUACACAAUGUAAUCAUCUGUGUACCUUCCCGUAUCCACCCCCACCUGGCCACUCCUGUGGCGAUUUUACAGCCGCACCCCGGAGCCCUGGCAUCACUAAUCUUUCCUCUAUUUCUAAAAUUGUUUUAUUUCAGAAAUGUUAUGUUUAGAUACAGGAAUCAUACAGCGCCUAAUUUUUUGAAAUUGGCUUUCUUCACUCGUUAGUCUAAUUCCCUGCAGGUUCACGUCUUGCUUUUUUACACGAGUUUCCUCUCAGAAAGUAACUUUUUUUAAAAAAUUACCCAACAGCAAAUCUAAAGUCCAUUUCAAAUGCAAGAGUUCCCUCAUCCUUUCCUAAAUAACAGCCUCUUUUUACAGGUAGAACAGAUGGUUUGAAAAGGAAAGAUUUUUUUUUCACAUAUGGGGAAAAAAAAUUCCCAGCCUUGGAAGGAUAUUUGGGUUAGAGGCCGAAGUGCAUCACAGAUCACGCACGCGUCCACACCUCAGAAAACACUCACUCAUUCCUGAGACGCAACGUCUCCGGCACACAGCUCCGCAGCUGGGGGUGACUAAGAGCCCACACCACGCAAGUAAUAAAACGCUCCAAUUUCAUUUAUUUAAUCAUCUGUGUGCUUCAUUUGACAAAUAUUUAUGGAGUGUCUGCUGCUAGCUCAGUGCCUGGUGCCUGGGACUGAAGACCAGAGCCCCCUGGAGACCAAAAGAGCCAGCUCCCAGCUGUGAGCAGAUCGGGUCCAAAGAUCACGGGCUCGGCGGCAGGAACCUGGUUUGGUAUCCGGCUCCUCUGCGGACUUUGAAGUGCUUUACCGAUUCACAUGACAACUGGUAAAACGAAAACAAACACCUUUCCAGGAAUUGUGAAUUCGAGUUCCAGACCCUCUGGGAUUCCGGGAGCGCAGCUGCUAUUUAUGUUAACAGUCAUUGGUCCCAGGCUGGUGAGGUUAGAAUUUCCAAGUAUAAAAGUAAUUUAGUUUCGUUUUAAAUACAUUUUAGGGCCAAAGAAAAGUGGAACGAUUUAAAGAAAAAGAUGAAAUGAAUAAUAGGGCAAGUUGGGAGGUGGCUGUCCUGAGGUUUCAUGGGACAACAUUAAUUAACCUCAUGAAGUGCCUGCAUGGACAACGUGCCCGGUGUGGUUACAAACAAACCAAUCAGCACAGAUCCUGGGUGGAAAGCAGGGCGCAGCCACGGAGGCACAGUAGGGGUGCAGACUUGAAGGUUUUUAGGAGGUAAGCCCCGAGGGCACGAAGCUCCACGGAGAGACUGUUGACCCGCCUGGGAGUGCAGUGCAGUCACAGCAACCUCCAAAAACCCAACUUUGCAAAGAUAUGGCAUCGUCAGAAGAAAUGGGGUGCAAUCUAAUGUUGACAGUGUGGAUGAGAGUGGGACACCUGCCAGUUGUUUGCAUCAGCAGACACUCAGAGUCCAUGGAAAAAAUGAGCCUAGAGGUUUUUAAACCACAACACAAGCAAAAGGCACCUGGUCCCGUUCCUCUUAAGACAGAAGAAAGAGGCGUAAAACCAGCUCCAGGUGCCACCCUUAAGAAAUGUUACAGUGCCGGAUGGGAAGAGUAAACCCUGAACAUCUCUUCUUAAUACUUUACAGACUUCAAGUGUAUUUUAUGGUGACAAAGCAUAUUGAAGACAAAUGAAACUCUACAACCCUGAAAA